GGACGAACGCUGGCGGCGUGCUUAACACAUGCAAGUCGAACGCUGAAGCUCAGCUUUUGUUGGGUGGAUGAGUGGCGAACGGGUGAGUAACACGUGAGUAACCUGCCCUCUUCUUUGGGAUAACGCCCGGAAACGGGUGCUAAUACUGGAUAUUCACUGAUCUUCGCAUGGGGGUUGGUGGAAAGGUUUGUUCUGGUGGGGGAUGGGCUCGCGGCCUAUCAGCUUGUUGGUGGGGUGAUGGCCUACCAAGGCUUUGACGGGUAGCCGGCCUGAGAGGGUGACCGGUCACAUUGGGACUGAGAUACGGCCCAGACUCCUACGGGAGGCAGCAGUGGGGAAUAUUGCACAAUGGGCGAAAGCCUGAUGCAGCGACGCCGCGUGAGGGAUGGAGGCCUUCGGGUUGUAAACCUCUUUCGCUCAUGGUCAAGCCGCAACUGUGGGUUGUGGUGAGGGUAGUGGGUAAAGAAGCGCCGGCUAACUACGU
rnacentral:rRNA from 1 species